rnacentral:rRNA from 1 species
CCUACGGGAGGCAGCAGUGAGGAAUAUUGGUCAAUGGACGCGAGUCUGAACCAGCCAAGUAGCGUGAAGGAUGACUGCCCUAUGGGUUGUAAACUUCUUUUAUAUGGGAAUAAAACGUUCCACGUGUGGGAUUUUGUAUGUACCAUAUGAAUAAGGAUCGGCUAACUCCGUGCCAGCAGCCGCGGUAAUACGGAGGAUCCGAGCGUUAUCCGGAUUUAUUGGGGUUAAAGGGAGCGUAGGUGGAUUGUUAAGUCAGUUGUGAAAGUUUGCGGCUCAACCGUAAAAUUGCAGUUGAAACUGGCAGUCUUGAGUACAGUAGAGGUGGGCAGAAUUCGUGGUGUAGCGGUGAAAUGCUUAGAUAUCACGAAGAACUCCGAUUGCGAAGGCAGUUCACUGGACUGCAACUGACACUGAGGCGCGAAAGUGUGGGUAUCAAACAGGAUUAGAUACCCUUGUAGUC